rnacentral:lncRNA from 10 species
GGAUAGGGAGUUAGCUACACUUCAUCAAGAGUAAGAAUGAGGAUGCUGGAGUGCUUCUUGGGGAUCAAAAGAGGGCUACAUGGGAGAGGGAGAGCACACCCUACAAUCAUCUUAAAUCUUCCUUAAGAAGACCAUCCAAAGGGAUGAUGUGAUGUCAAUCGGAGAGAGGGACCAGCAGAACAGCUCAGAUAGAAACUAUGUGUGGCCUUCCAGAGGUACCACCAUGCUGCUGGAAGUACAGUAGCACAAUCCCGGCGAUAGAAUUUCCAAGGAACCCUGGGCAUACCUUACGAGAAAAUCAACAUCGAGCAUAGAUUAAAUGAAGAGAAUGUCAAUGCCCAGGCAUGCAUCAGUACCAUACAGGGCAAGAGUAACACCACCGCAGUCUAAAUAUGUAUCUAUAAUGGCAAACAUGGAAAAUUAACUGACAAUGGUAACAAAAGAGUUCUGAUUUCCUACAUGAGGACAUGACCAUAAGCACCAGUGUAUGAUUUUUCUGGGCCCCUGAAAUACAUGGGCUACACCUCAAGAAUGCACUUUAAUGGAAAAGCUUGCAGAAGUGGAAAAGCCAUACUGCCUCCCUUCCUGUUCCUUGAACCCAGGGAACACAAUCUUGGCAUUUUCUAUACCUGUACCUGGAACAGUGUUCUCCAAGAGAGCUACAUGGUCAACCCCCUCACUUCUUUCAGAUCUGUGAUCAUAUGUCAAGCCAUCAGAGACUCCUCCAAUCUUCUUAUCUGAAAUAGCAUCCUCCCUACCAGUACCUGCUGUCUCUCCAGUCCUGCUGACUUAUACUUCAUAGCAUUUAUUACCAUCUGACAUUUUAAAUGUCACUUCACUACUUUAUUGCUAUAAUUGUAUAUAUCUAUGGAUUUGUUUAUCUAUUAAUGUAUUUAUCAUGUUAUGUAUUUGUGUAUUGUUUAUCUAUCCAUAGUAGAAUGUAAAUUGCACAAGAACAGGAAUUUCUGUGUUCAUUGUAGCAGUUCAAAUAUUUAUAACAAAGCCUGGCAUAUAGUAGGUGUCUUAGUCUUCUCAGGCUACUACAGAAAAAUACCAAAGACGGGGUAGCUUAAACAACAUUUAUUUCUCACAGUUCUGAAUGCCAGGAAGCCCAAAACCAAGGUGACAGCAUGGUUGGGUUCUGGCGAGGGAGGGCCUCAUCUUCCUGGCUUGCAGACGGCCCCCUUCUCAUUGUGUCCUCACAGGGUGGAGAGAGAGCUCCAGUCUCCUCCUCUUCUUAUAAGGACACUAAUUCUAGUAUGGGGGCCCCAUCCUUAGGAUCUCAUCUAAAUCUACCUCCUCCAAAUACCAUCACGUGAAGUAUUAAGGCUGCAACAUAUAAAUUCUGGGGGAACACAAACAUUCAGUCUAUAACAGUAGAGGUGAAUAAAUAUUUUUCUGAGCAAAGUUCAUCUUUAUUCUUAUCUUUAUUUAGAGGUAUGUUUUAUUUAAUUUGUUUUUAAAUGAGAAUUAUAAAUAAGCUGCAAAACUGAUUCCAGUUGUGCUUUCUGUCCUUUCUCUUGGGUCCCUGGUCUUGAGUUACCUAAAUGCUACAUUGAAUGAAGAAAAGAAGACAGAACACAUAUUAACUGUGUCCAUUUUUUAAUCUGAGGUUUUGACCAAUAAUUUCAGACUGAUUAUUCUGGCGCUACCCAAAGAGAACUGAGUUGUAUCAUUGUUCCUAUCUGAAAGACAGAGAAGCUGUGAUUCAGGGUAGUUACAGAGCUUGCCCAAAGUCACACAGCAAUUUAGCCACUGGGGAAAAGGGGUACAGGUAACUAAAGUUAGAACACAGAAAUGUAGAUUCCAACUGAGGGUUUUUAUUUGGCAAAACCAGGAAAUUGAUUACAUGCACCUCAUCACCACCCUCCACAGCACCCCUAUGGCCAUGGCAGACACUGAUCACCCACUACCUCCAUGACAC